UACGAAGGGGGCUAGCGUUGUUCGGAAUUACUGGGCGUAAAGCGCACGUAGGCGGAUAUUUAAGUCAGGGGUGAAAUCCCAGAGCUCAACUCUGGAACUGCCUUUGAUACUGGGUAUCUUGAGUAUGGAAGAGGUGAGUGGAAUUCCGAGUGUAGAGGUGAAAUUCGUAGAUAUUCGGAGGAACACCAGUGGCGAAGGCGGCUCACUGGUCCAUUACUGACGCUGAGGUGCGAAAGCGUGGGGAGCGAACAGG
rnacentral:rRNA from 1 species